AUGCUCAUUUCAGCAGCACAUGUACUAAAAUUGGAACAAUACAGAGAAGAUUCACGUGGUUCCUAUGCAAGGAUGAGAUACAGAUUUAUGAAGCAUCCCAUAUACAA
ensembl:snRNA U6 U6 spliceosomal RNA